AUGAGGGGCUAAUCCUUCCUCUCCUAACCA
rnacentral:tRNA from 1 species